AUGGGAUUUGGGCUCCAUUUAGUGUUCCUUGCAGCAGCUUUGGAAGGUGUCCAGUCCCAGAUCCAGCUGGUGGAGUCCGGAGGGGAUGUGAAAAAGCCCGGAGACUCUCUCCGCCUCUCCUGCAAACCCACUGGGUUCAAAGUUGGUGACUACGGGAUGAUGUGGGUCCGGCAUGCUCCCGGGAAGGGGCUGGAGUGGGUCUCAAGCAUUUAUUGGAACCCCUAUUAUGCAGACUCAGUGAAAGGCCGAUUCACCAUCUCCAGGGACGAUUCCAACAACCUGCUGCAUUUGGACAUGACCGGCCUGAAGCCCGAGGACACCGCCUGGUAUUACUGUGUGCAAGACACACAGUGA